CCCGGUUUGGCUCAGUGGAUAGAGCAUUGGCCUUCAGACUAAGAGUCCCAGGUUCGAUUCCAGUCACGGGCA